UACGGAGGGGACAAGCGUUGUUCGGAAUUACUGGGCGUAAAGAGCACGUAGGCGGCCAGAAAAGUCAGACGUGAAAGCCCUCUGCUCAACAGAGGAAGGGCGUUUGAAACUUUCUGACUUGAGUGUGGGAGAGGAGAGUGGAAUUCCCAGUGUAGCGGUGAAAUGCGUAGAUAUUGGGAAGAACACCAGUGGCGAAGGCGGCUCUCUGGACCACUACUGACGCUGAGGUGCGAAAGCUAGGGGAGCAAACGGGAUUAGAUACCCCCGUA
rnacentral:rRNA from 1 species